GAUGAAGAACGCAGCGAAAUGCGAUAAGUAGUGUGAAUUGCAGAUUUCAGUGAAUCAUCGAAUCUUUGAACGCACAUUGCGCCCUUUGGUAUUCCGAAGGGCAUGCCUGUUCGAGCGUCAUUAUCACCCCUCAAGCCCCUUGGCUUGGUGUUGGACGGCUGGCGAUGACCUCCGGGUCGUCGCCCCUCCCAAAGACAAUGACGGCGGCCUCGUUGGACCCCCGGUACACUGAGUUCUUCACGGGACACGUACUGGAUCAAGGGUGCGCGGAGCACGGUCUUAACCAUUUCACCCCUCGCGGGCGGAAUAAUUUUUCUAGGUUGACCUCGGAUCAGGUAGGGAUACCCGCUGAACUUAAGCAUAUCAAUAAGCGGAGGA
rnacentral:misc_RNA from 1 species